CGCUGAGGCACGAAGGCUGGGGGAGCGAACAGGAUUAGAUACCCUGGUAGUCCCAGCAGUAAACGAUGUGAGCUUGAUGUGGGGGGAUUCGACCCCUUCCGUGUCGAAGCUAACGCGAUAAGCUCACCGCCUGAGGAGUACGGCCGCAAGGCUAAAACUCAAAGAAAUUGACGGGGACCCGCACAAGCGGUGGAGUAUGUGGCUUAAUUCGAUGCAACGCGAAGAACCUUACCUGGCCUUGACAUGCAUUGUGUCGUCGGUGAAAGCCGGCUAGUCCUGGAAACAGGACGCUUUGCACAGGUGCUGCAUGGCUGUCGUCAGCUCGUGUCGUGAGAUGUUGGGUUAAGUCCCGCAACGAGCGCAACCCUUGUGGUCAGUUACUAACCGGCUUAGCCGGAGGACUCUGGCCAGACUGCCCUGUCANACGGGGAGGAAGGUGGGGACGACGUCAAGUCAGUAUGGCCCUUAUGGCCAGGGCUGCACACGUACUACAAUGCCCGGUACAAUGUGAACCG
rnacentral:rRNA from 1 species